UCGAUCAAUACCCUGCAAAGUACAUGCUUCUAGGGAAACAAACAAUAGGCCUGGUCAAUUUUUCAACAGGUUUUGUAAUCCAGAAAAGGCAACACGUUUGUUGGCUUAAGCGAUAGGAAAUGGAGGAAGAAGCCCUGAAAAAAAGCAGUAAAAUCUAUGAGGGAAGUGCUCGACGGGCCAUUUAGAAGAGGACACAGCAGCAGAAUCAACUGUUGCAGAGGAGUGAAACGUUGAAAUCAGGCCACUGCACUUGGCAGGUUCAGGGAAGUAGAGGGGCAGAAUUCUAAUUGCAGCAGUGAAUUGAGAAGUGAAUGAACGAUAAGAAAGUACAGGGAGUAGCGAGUAUUUUUUGAAGCGAACACGUUGUGAAGUAAAGGAAGGAAAAAGGAUGUUAGGCUGAUUUUCAGGAAGAAGGGAAGUUCUUUUAAUGUCCUUCUUUUCUUUUCUUUCUUUUUUAGUCCAUAGACACAAGAGAAAGAGCCACUGGGGCAGGAGAGAUUGAAGAUAAAAGGAAGGAGUACUUGAUAAGGCUAAGUCCCAGAGGAGGGCAGCAGGGACAGGAUCCAGAGCAGAGGGGGUCCCAGCUCACUCUGCACAGGAGGAAGUACUCCUCCGAGGACCGUUCAACAAAGAUGGUGGUCAAGAUGCACGAGAACUGAGAGAGAAGUGUGGACUUUAUGCAGGAUGGUUUCCCUUUCUCUGCGGAGGAGGGGCAGGCCACCUGCUGAUGGCGAGAAGGACGGUGACAGGGUCUGUGUGGUGAACUGCAGAGGCCGCUUUGGGGCGUGUGAAAGGACACUGGAGCUGUCACGCUUGGCCAACAGCAGGUGACAAAAAACCUUGCUCAAACUGCCUGGGACGAAAAAGGAACUCCUGGUUCAUGUAGUGAAAAGUCCAAGGCCUGAGCGGCACCUAGGAGUUCGAACAAUGCCAUCAGAACUUGGUUUCUUUCCCUCCCUCUGCUAACGUUGGCUCCAAUUCUCGGACACCGCUGCCCAGUCCCUGCCAAGGGAAAAAGGAGCCGUUUUCCUUCCGGAGGAGGGCGUGCCCAAGCGCUGACAAGGAGCUGGACCAGACCAAUUUGGGUCUUAAACUCAUCCUCCAACCAAUCACCAAGGCCCAGAUUUGGAGUACUCUGAUUGGCUGGCCCCAGGACAUGUGAUCGCCUCUGACCCAAUCACUGCAGCAGGGGGAUUUCAGCGCGCUGAAGAGCCCGCCCUGCGGACGGUGCGGGGACGGGUUCUAACCCUAUUUCCCCGAAGGCGGAGGGAAGGACGUGUAGUGCCAACCCCAGGCAUUGGUUUAGGACGAGGAGGGCUCGUUAUGUUCUUCGUCAGGUGGAAAGGGGAGCCUUCUGCUGCCCGAGCCAGGGAGGAACUUCGGAUGACUGGCCGUCUGAAACAGCCCCGCCGGCACCGAGAAGAGGAGACAGCAAAAUACGAAUAAAAGGAUUGUGAGGAGGGCCCCAAGAUGAAGAGGGAGGCACAAAGAGGCUGUGUAACGGGUCCAAAGCUCCCUGGAUGGUAAAUGGCAGGGCCAGGAUUCACCUCCAGGAAGUCUGCGUGUAGAGCUCUUGAUAUUUAUAUAUCGAACCCAACUGACAGGUGAGAAAUACGGAGGCUUUGGUCCGGCCAACGGCGAGCCACAGUGCAAUCAGCUUCCCUGGUGACGCAGACAGAGCACGACCACAUUCCCUUAAAACGUCGACUGUGGUAUUGCACCCACGUGUCAUGAAUACUCAUGCUUCUGAGCAGCACAGGACAGGGAGCAGGAUGCAGACGAUUUGGGGGAAGGCAUAUGAGUACAAGCUGCGUAUCUCUUAAAAGCAACCCACUGUUCGUUCAGAGCAGCCCUGCGGUCUUGGUCAUUUGGUGUCUUAGAACCUGACCCUCCGUGCAUCUUUUACCCCAAAGCAAAAGGGGCUGGUGGGACACAGAAGGGAAGCUGUAUGCCGGUAGGUGAAACUCUGGUCUCACUUAGCAAGCCUGCACAUCCCACGUUCUCAGUCUCCACGUGCAGGACGGUACCUUCGUCCAAGCUUCAACAGCCCUUGUGUCCUGAUGGGGGGCGUGGGAAGGCACAGCCCAGUCCUCUCCUCCUCCCCUCGACGCCCCGGCUCCUUGGUGGGAGAACACAUUCCACACGCUUCCUUGUGCCCCAAGUUUACCAGCGUCUGCCCAGGGCGUGGACCCGGUGGGCCAGCUGCCCUGUUGGGGGUCAGGCGUAAGGAAGCCCACUCUCCCACAGACAGAAGCCACAUUCUCCAGGAGAGGCUUUGUCUAUAAUAAAGGUAGUGUCCUGAUGUGC